GAAAUGCGAUAAGUAGUGUGAAUUGCAGAAUUCAGUGAAUCAUCGAAUCUUUGAACGCACAUUGCGCCCUUUGGUGUUCCAAAGGGCAUGCCUGUUCGAGCGUCAUUUGUACCCUCAAGCUUUGCUUGGUGUUGGGCGUCUUGUCUCUAGCUUUGCUGGAGACUCGCCUUAAAGUAAUUGGCAGCCGGCCUACUGGUUUCGGAGCGCAGCACAAGUCGCACUCUCUAUCAGCAAAGGUCUAGCAUCCAUUAAGCCUUUUUUCAACUUUUGACCUCGGAUCAGGUAGGGAUACCCGCUGAACUUAAGC
rnacentral:misc_RNA from 1 species